ACCUAGGUUUGACGAGAGAUUUCCGCGCCGCCACCUGAAAUCCCUCGGACGCGCGCUCCUCUCCUCUCCCCAAUCUCCAUCUCCAUCUCCAUCCUCGUCAGCGACGAAACCCACCACCUCCUUCCUCUCCGCCGUGACCCUCCGUUCUCUUCUCCUCCCGAACCUCUCUCAUGUCGCCAUGCUAGCACCGAGCACCGCGUCCGCCCAACCCUCUCUGCUGCACAGGAGGAAGGAGGACGAACAACGGCGGUCUGAGCUCCGCUGCCUCCAUCACUGUCUCGUCCUCCUCUUGCGCGCCGGCCGACCAGAGGCUGCCUCCCUGGUUCCCCCUGAUCUGCGCGGUUGGACCUUCAUAGCGUUGUUCAACCACAUCCACAUGGUGGUAUGUGCGAGCGAUGACGCCGGUGGCCUGUGGCCAGAUAUGGAGGCUUAGCUAAUGCAGCGGCAUGGCAACUUAGAUGCGAGCACUAGCUGUUUGUAUAAAUGCACAAGGAGGAGUGCUCAGGGGAGGACGAUAGUUGUUUGUAUAAAUGCACAAGGAGGAGUGCUUAGGGGAGGACGAUAGAUUUCAGGUGUACAUGGAGGAGGUGAAGGCGACUACAAAGGAGCUUGCCGUAGCUGCUCACCUGCUUCGGGAAUCCUCCUGACAGAAGCACGAUGCCAUGUCCUAGAGUUUGUUCACGUACUUCUAUCUGCCUAUAAUAUAUGCUGACAAUUAUAUGUGACUGAUUAAUUAACUAACGAGAGCAGUUUUUUAGCACCCGGGUGUCUGGACACCCGUUUAUCACACCGUCCAUGCAGUACCCAGUAUAUUGAGAUAUGUGCCAGGUCCCGAACCACCGUUUGGAUUAGCAGACUGAGGGAACAAUAAACGCAAGUGGUCUUAGAUUGGUACUGUUCAUUGUAGGCAGAAUCGGCAGACUCUGCCACCGGUCCAGUCAACAUCAAAACUGACAUGUCAGCCUCCUCUCGAAGCAGGGUUAGACAUGCCGGCUCGUGGUUCAAACCAGUGACAAGACCUGACAUCCUGUGAAGCAAACCAGCGUCGCAAAAGAACGUAAAAUCUACAUAGAUAAAAAUUUCGCCGGUAUGCCCAAAGGUCUCCAUCAGCAAUCUUAUUGCAUAGAUAAAAUGUCGAAUUAACUUUAAGCAGAGAAGACACAACACUCUACAGCUUACCGUGAUUUUCACUUGUAUACUAUAGUUGUCCACGUGAAAGGCUGGGGUUUCCCACAUGUUGCUUGGCAGGAUACGUCGCAUGCACGGCCCAUGUCCAGUCUUUUCAAUAUAUAUUAAUCAGCCUGUCAUGUUUACAGGCGAGAGGACCUAGCAUCUGCUGCCUAGCCUACCUACCCCUAUUCCCUACUUGUCCCUGGGAGCACCUCCAUUAGCUUGGUUAAAUGGCUUGGAUAAAGUUGGCAGCCGCUGCUAAAUAACUGCUGUUCGGCAAAGCAAGGCACGAAUCUCAUCAAGGGUGAAUGGACAAGAUAAAGGGGUGCCGGGACUCCCGGGUGCUACAACACAUUUUCGUUAACUAAAACUUGAGAGGUUAAGGACAAGUGUUUUCAAAUGAAGGAAUAUAGUGUACGUGCAGCUAAUUACAUACACAUAUGCAUCAUUCCAUAAUAAUUGGAAGUUUGGAUAUUAGGUAUUUGUUAAAGACCAGGGAUCCUAAUUUGCCAUUCCCAUACCACAGUUUUCACUGUAUGUAUCUCAUGAACAUUAUCAUUAUGCUCUGUAUCAGAAUUGUCACUGUAUCUCAUCAUUGUUUGGAGUAUACCUUUGCAGCUCCAUAGUUAUUAGAAUGGUUUUACUUCCACAUAAUAGCCUUGUUCAAAUAAAAUCACAAGACCUUCGUAAGCUUGCUUAGUUACUAUGGAGAAGGGCCUUCUUCCAAGGAGCUGUAGAUUUUGAAUAUGCUCCUGGUUGGACACUUUUUCCACUAUAUGUACAGAAUAGGGGUAGGGAAGAGCGCAACUUAGGUUUUGGGGCAGGCCUCACUAGCAAUUAUGGCAUCCUCUUAUUUGGUUGCAGGUUACUUGCCUUCUUCUUUCAGCCCAUCUCAAGAAUUAUAGUGCAGUUUUUGUGGAGAGCCCAUGUUGGUUUGCUUGAUUUAUGUUCAAAAUGGACAUUACAAUGCUCUUUGAGUCAAGUUUGUAUAUAUUCCGAGUAGUCCUUUAUUAUUUAUCAACUGAGGCAUGAUUGUUGUUGCACUUACUAAAAAUAAUCCUGGUGUUAUUUUCUUUGAGAAAAGAAAUAGACGGCUCAGAUGUGUGCUUCUUAGCAUCACAUCAAAUUGAAUAAUCGGAUAGGGUUAUAUAUCAUCAUAUCUGCAUACAUAAUAUCUUCUGUAAUUAUAUACCGGUGUAGGCUCUUGUUGUUAGAUGAUGAACUUAUGUUAUUUUAUGCCAAGUAGUUAAAUUUAUGUGCACCUUCUCAUGUGUUUACUUGUUUCUGCUUUUAUAGUAUGGCUUGGUCCUGUUGUGAAAAAAGAUCCUGAUAUGUUCGAUUAUUCUGUUUUUUUCUUUAUCCAAUGACCUAUUAAUGUGCUUUGAGCAUAUGACAAUUGUUUCCUCACUAUCUUAGAUUAGUAGUAAUCCUUCUUUUAUGUUUCUGCAAUUUCAGUUCUUGCCUUUUGAAAUUUCCUUUGCAUUCUGUAUCUGCGCAUCCCCUCUUGUGGGCUGUUGUAAUGGUCUACUGAACAGCCAUAUCAUGCUAUGAUUGCAUCGUUGCAUGACAAUGUACCAUAUGCUCAUGCAUUUCUUUUCUUACCGAUGUUGUCCUGAUGAGUUGGUUGGCUUACAUGUGCGCCCUCCGUCCUAAAAUAAGUGUCUCAACUCUGUUACAAAGUUGUACUAGAGUUGAGACACUUAUUUUGGGAUGAAGGGAGUAGUCUGCUGUGAAGGUCUACUUGUUUUAGGUAGCAUUGCUUUCUGGAAUACGUCAUUGGAACCUGGUAACAUUCACUGGUUACAGUCAGAUAGACAGGAAGAACAUACUUGUGUAUGAGUUCAUGCACAACGAAAGGACCAACUUAGCUGAUGGUAAAUUUUCUCUGUGGAAUCAACAACACGCUACUAUAUAUACACGUACGAUUCUUUCGCAGCAAAAUUUUGUCCAUGCAGUUGUAUUUCAGAUCUUUAGAACUACAGGGUAGUUUCUAUAUUUGAUGAUUCAGGUUGUCUUAGGCUGCAGCUCCCCGUCCUCCCCGUCCAGCUACCGUGUACCCCAUAUCCUUUGAAGAGGAUAAAUCUGAAUGAAAACUUGGAAUUACCUAAUAGGUGCAUACAUGAACUAUUGAUGAUGUGAAUAGAAACACCUGUAGUAGCGCUGACCUUUGGCAACCUUCACGUCGUGCCUCCAAGGCAGGCCAUGAGUGAUGGUUGCCGUGAUGUUGGCCUUGCAAAAAAAUAGGGCUUUGCUGACUGGUGACUGGCUAUAGUUUGUGUUUGUUGUUUACAUGUCAGUUUUUAACAAUUUGACCUAUCUUUUAAAGACAGUAUAGUUCACAAAAAGGAAACUUUUUAUAGAAAAUAUAUCGGUUUAUAUUAGACCAUUCUAGACCAUAUCUCUUUAAUACAUAGUUUAUUAUAUUUUCUGUUUUUAAAUAUGAGAGUGCCCAUCUUACUUAGUGGCAUUGCUAUGCUUCAUAGUAUACAAUAUUUUGCAUGCCUGUAUAAUUCGUAAGUGGUUUUUCGUAUUCAGGUGUUAUUAAUAUGGUGAGUGAUUGAAGGGGAGGCAUGAGGAGAGAGCAGUCCAAAGGGUGGAUGGAGCAUGUGACUUGUUGAUGUUAGUUUCCAUUUCCGGAAAGAACAAAUUUUCUAUGAUUUAUGCUGAUGUGUCAAAGUCAAUGUAACGCCCCGAGAAUCUUGCUACAGUAAUCCCCUCUAAUGAUGCCUUGUCGUCAUGCUUUCCUAAGCCAAAAUGCCCCUUGUCCAAAAAUCAAGUCCAAUUCAAUUCAAAUUGCAAGUCAAUUAUUUGCAUCUUCAAAUGAGCCAGAAAAAUAGUUCACAA